CUCUUUCUCACUCACAGAUGCAGAGGGUGGCUCUUCACCAGACCUAGCUUCCACACUUCUCUGGGGAACAAAAGGGACAAGAAGUGCUAUUGAUUUAAUUUUUUUUGUGAACUGCACAGGUCACUCUUGAGCAUUCAGAAGCUGUGUGUGGGCAUUCCUGAAGAUAACCACUCAAAGCAAUGCGCAAUUCAGGACACUGAUGGACAGGUCCUGGCUAAGGAUUGUGAAAUCCUCUAAGGAGCACAGAUGGACAAGGCCAGGGGCAACAAGAGAGAGAUAAGCUGCUGAUAAUGGCCAGGAAACGGUCUUUUUGUGUGGUCUUGUCUGGAGGAAGAUGGCCAUCUCAGGAGGUAUGCACAUGACUCUUGCUCAAGCACCCAGGGAUGUCACGUAGGCAGGAGAAAAUGGAGGAUAAAAGAGGGUCCAACAACCACGGCGGAUUAGAGGCUGAUCUCUCACCACGUCUCAAGCUUUCUGCCUUCAGAUCCUUUUCUACGGACCGUAUGCUGACGGACUUCCCUGGGCCUGCUACCUGAGACCUGCUGCUUCCUCCCAGACUUACUCUGCGGCUUCUUCCUGGACCCACCCGGUACCUGCACCCUCUCGUUGCCCAAGACCGGCCUCGCUGCUCCUGCCCUUCGGCCUCAGACCGUUGGAAUGUCGUGCAACGGGACUACUGUCGGAUCCUGGUGGUGACUAUCCCCGCUUUAUGCAAUUUUUGCUUCUUUCUAUCUUUUCUAUUGCUUGCCUUCCCUUCCCCAUCACCCCAAUCCGUAAUAGUGUCCAUCCUCCCCUUUCUUCAUCUCCGUUAUUAACAUUUGUAAUAAACUGGUCGGACCAACAUUUGAACUGUUGUUUCUUAAUCUCACGCCAGGCAUACGUAUUUCAAAGAACCUCCUCUCCCUCCUAUAAAUUGGAGCGAGACCCUUGUUUACUUCGUUAGCAAGUACAGUCUGUCUGAGCACAACAGCACCCUUUCACUAUGCUUAGGGAAAGGCCUAUCCCGUACAGCACGUAUUCCCGUCGAGCGCUUACUACAACAACGC
ensembl:lncRNA